rnacentral:rRNA from 1 species
AAUGAACGCUGGCGGCGCGCCUAAUACAUGCAAGUCGAGCGAGAAGACGUAGCAAUACGUUUGUAAAGCGGCGAACGGGUGAGGAAUACAUGGGUAACCUACCCUCGAGUGGGGAAUAACUAGCCGAAAGGUUAGCUAAUACCGCGUACGCUUCUUGGACUUCGGUUCAGGGAGGAAAGCGAUACCGUGGGUAUCGCGCUCUUGGAUGGGCUCAUGUCCUAUCAGCUUGNGGUGAGGUAACGGCUCACCAAGGCUUCGACGGGUAGCUGGUCUGAGAGGACGAUCAGCCACACUGGCACUGCGACACGGGCCAGACUCCUAGGGAGGCAGCAGUAAGGAAUAUUGCGCAAUGGGCGAAAGCCUGACGCAGCGACGCCGCGGUGGGGGA